UUAAAAAGCUUGCUUUUUAAGUUAGCGGCGGACGGGUGAGUAACACGUGGGCAACCUGCCUGUAAGACUGGGAUAACUUCGGGAAACCGGAGCUAAUACUGGAUAAUCCUUUUCUACUCAUGUAGGAAAGCUGAAAGACGGUUUACGCUGUCACUUACAGAUGGGCCCGCGGCGCAUUAGCUAGUUGGUGAGGUAACGGCUCACCAAGGCGACGAUGCGUAGCCGACCUGAGAGGGUGAUCGGCCACACUGGGACUGAGACACGGCCCAGACUCCUACGGGAGGCAGCAGUAGGGAAUCUUCCGCAAUGGACGAAAGUCUGACGGAGCAACGCCGCGUGAGUGAUGAAGGUUUUCGGAUCGUAAAACUCUGUUGUUAGGGAAGAACAAGUACGAGAGUAACUGCUCGUACCUUGACGGUACCUAACCAGAAAGCCACGGCUAACUACGUGCCAGCAGCCGCGGUAAUACGUAGGUGGCAAGCGUUGUCCGGAAUUAUUGGGCGUAAAGCGCGCGCAGGCGGUCCUUUAAGUCUGAUGUGAAAGCCCACGGCUCAACCGUGGAGGGUCAUUGGAAACUGGGGGACUUGAGUGCAGAAGAGGAGAGUGGAAUUCCACGUGUAGCGGUGAAAUGCGUAGAGAUGUGGAGGAACACCAGUGGCGAAGGCGACUCUCUGGUCUGUAACUGACGCUGAGGCGCGAAAGCGUGGGGAGCGAACAGGAUUA
rnacentral:rRNA from 1 species